GGAUGCAUUUCCUUCUUGAUGGUGCCAGUGAGAAGAAAAACAUAAGUUUCGUCCAUGAUGAAUCCGUAGUAUACACCCCCCUCAGGGAGUGGCAGAAGAGUGGACGGAUUGAGAACUUGACAUCUUUGGAGGGUAAUGUCGUCAGGCAACAAAAGAUGACAUUGAAGGCGAAGAUGCCUAACAGGAGUAACAUGCUUAAGUUGGACCUGGUUGACUAUGGCAGAAAUGUCAUGGGGGGCCAAGACAACCAGGGGGUGGCCAAGGACAAGAUCUCCAGUUCUUUCAAUGAGCUCUCUGGCAGCAAAGACGG